rnacentral:lncRNA from 1 species
ACUGGGCAGCCCCUGACCUGGCUCCCGCAGCGGCCAGCCUCCUGCAGCAGCCUCCCAGCUAGCCACAGAUUUAGGGGCGGCGGCAGCACAGCUGUUUCCAGCCAAGGCGAUGGUCCAGAGAGUCUGCCUACUAGCAGGAAGCAUUAACAGAAAGCUUGAUCUAAUGGAUUUGCACCGUUGACCCUGAUGAAGCACAUUCAGCUCCAAGAAGAGAACCUGGGGGACUGGGAAGACAGCUCCACCACGCAAUCUUCCAAAGUGUUUGCCACACAGGCAAUGAAGACUGAGGAUGGCUCCCAGGAACACCCACAGAAAGCUGACCAUGGCAGGAUGCCUCUAAUCCCAGUCACAGCAAAUCAGAGUCGAACAGCAGACGCUCUAGGUUAAUGCAAUGGGAGCUCAAAACCUUGCUUUAAGCAUGAGGAAGCCAGACAGAUCCUAGCUACUGAUGAAUAUUAGCAGAGGCCCAAGAAGUCGCAGGCCUUACCCAUCUUUCCUUCCCACAAUGCUCACACUCAUUACAGCUUGCUCAAAGGAAAUGUUCGUUCACUGGUUUAUCAAAAAACCUUUGGGACCAUCACAGGAAUUUUAAUCAGGGCCUAGCUUGAACAAAUAUGACUAUCUUUAUCUUUACCAAAUAAUUAACUGAGUGUUGGAGAGAUGCCUUCGUUUGUCUUAGGGCCACAGGGCCAGGGAGUGGUGUGGUUUGUGAAAUCCAACCUCCUGACUGUACUACGUGAACCACACCUCCGAGUCUGGGUAGCAGAGGGUCCAAGUCCAAGAGGUUAUCGUGUCUGGAGGCCCUCUGCAUGAAGGAUAUGCUCUGUGUAUUUUAGAUUAAAAUACAACCGGGUUCUUGGCUUUAGAACUCAAGACAAAGACUCGGUUGCUGUUUCUAAAGCCCUAGGUCACUUCUUUCUAGUUCUCUCAUCUUGGAUGUUUGUGGCAGGACAGUGACUUUUGAAACAGAAAAUUCUAGAAGGUACUUCUCCUGCAGUUCUCUUUAUCCUGCUGGUAUGACAAGCAAGUCCUCCUGAACAUGCUGCUGUUCCCACCGAAGAUGGAAAGCGCUCUGUCUGUCCAUGAUGGCAGAGAGCCAAGGAGAGCCUGGCGUGAGACUUCUGUCCCUGCCCUCCAGUUUCAGGCCUUUUUUGAGUCAAAGUGACUGUUUCCCUUUGAAAAGGUGUUGGGAGAGUGAGAUGAGAGUGAGAGCCCUGUCAUGUCACAGCUUGGUUGUGGCUUGUGACAGUGUGCAUAAGCAAGUCCCUUCCUUGGCCUGUGUACUCAUGGACUGAUUUCCCACCAUUAGAUUCCUCCGCUUUGUGAGUAUUCGGUGCCAUCACCCUUCAGGUAAUGGUCCCUAACCAACAGCCUCCACUGGCUGAGCUGCUGAGGGUCUCUACACAAAAGAUAUUUCUGCAGUUUGUGCACAGGAAACAGCCUUGAGGACUUCAAGGACACUUUUUCUAUCCU